UACGGAGGGGGCUAGCGUUGUUCGGAAUUACUGGGCGUAAAGCGCACGUAGGCGGCUUUGCAAGUUAGAGGUGAAAGCCCGGGGCUCAACUCCGGAAUUGCCUUUAAAACUGCAUCGCUAGAAUUGUGGAGAGGUAAGUGGAAUUCCGGAGUGUAGAGGUGAAAUUCGUAGAUAUUCGGAAGAACACCAGUGGCGAAGGCAGCUCUCUGGGACGGUACUGACGCUGAGACGCGAAAGCGUGGGGAGCGAACGAGGA
rnacentral:rRNA from 1 species